CCUACGGGGGGCUGCAGUGGGGAAUAUUGGGCAAUGGGCGCAAGCCUGACCCAGCAACGCCGCGUGAAGGAAGAAGGCUUUCGGGUUGUAAACUUCUUUUCUCAGGGACGAAGAAAGUGACGGUACCUGAGGAAUAAGCCACGGCUAACUACGUGCCAGCAGCCGCGGUAAGCCGGAGGUGGCAAGCGUUAUCCGGAUUUAUGGGGUGUAAAGGGCGUGUAGGCGGGAGCGCAAGUCAGAUGUGAAAACGCAGGGCUCAACCCUGAGCGUGCAUUUGAUACUGUGUUUCUUGAGUGCUGGGGAGGUAAUCGGAAUCCCGUGUGUAGCGGUGAAAUGCGUAGAUAUACGGAGGAACACCAGUGGCGAAGGCGGAUUGCUGGACAGUAACUGACGCUGAGGCGCGAAAGCGUGGGGAGCAAACAGGAUUAGAUACCCGGGUAGUC
rnacentral:rRNA from 1 species